CGAGCCGCCUUCUACUUUCCAGUCUGUCUGGGUCCUUUGGAACGUGGCAAACGUGGAAGCCAGGAGGGCUCU
ensembl:miRNA